rnacentral:tRNA from 1 species
GGGCGCGUAGCUCAAUUGGCAGAGCAGCGGCCUUUUAAGCCGCGGGUUUAGGGUUCGAUUCCCUACGCGCUCA